CUGUGUUUCAUUUAUUCAGUCAUUUUAUGAUGUUUUUGUUUCGUUUUAUUAAAGCAAACCCAGUACCCAAUUUCCCCUGCUUUCGUUAAACACAAAACCCCUGUUUUGUGGUUAUUUAAUCAAACCCAUUUCCUUUUCUUUUUAAAACAUUCAAACCCUCUUCGUUUUAUCAAAAUCUCACCUCUGUUUUCUUUGCAUCAGUUAGCUUGUAGCGAGUCGAGUAGCUGGAUGCCUUGAUUUCUUUUAAAUUUCUUGCUGUGAUUUAUUUUGCCAUCGACGAGUUCAAGAUGCCGAGUUGCCUGCGGAGUCUGGUCUUAGUUUGACUCCUGUAGUUUUGUUAGAGUUCGAUAGCUGAGUUGUAGCUUUCUGUUCUGAGUUUUGUUUGCGUGAUUUCUCUGUUGGUUGUGUUUUCUUUUACUGAGUUUAGCAACGAGUUGUCACUGGACUUCACUGAAUAGAAUCGUCCGAGUUCACCGAGUUGUUUUUCUGCUGAGUCCGAGUUUUGUUUUGUUGAGUCACUGAGUCGAUGUUGUUAGAGUUUGUUUUCGUUGAAUCCGAGUAUGCUGUGAUUUGAGCUUGCUGCGUGUAUGCUUUCAUUUGUUCAGUUUAGUUUUUUCUUUUUGUUAUUUCUGCUGUUUGUCGAGUUGCUUUAUUGCCUUGCUGCGAUUUGUUUGCUUCCUGUUGAGUUCUUGAGUUUGGGUAGGUUCUGUAUCAUGUUGGUGUAUUGAGUUGCUACCCCUUUUUCUCUUUUGUUUAGAAACCACUCGCACCUGCUUUGUUUUUCUUUUGUUGCGUCGCAAAAACGAGUACUUGGAAUUUCCGAGUUUAGGUGCUGUCAUUUCUUUGUUUACUUUUGUUUCGUUUAGUUUUGUUUAAUAUAUGAUUUAUUGAAAGUGAUUUACUUG
rnacentral:lncRNA from 1 species